rnacentral:rRNA from 1 species
UAGGGAAUCUUCGGCAAUGGACGAAAGUCUGACCGAGCAACGCCGCGUGAGUGAAGAAGGUUUUCGGAUCGUAAAACUCUGUUGUUAGAGAAGAACAAGGACGUUAGUAACUGAACGUCCCCUGACGGUAUCUAACCAGAAAGCCACGGCUAACUACGUGCCAGCAGCCGCGGUAAUACGUAGGUGGCAAGCGUUGUCCGGAUUUAUUGGGCGUAAAGCGAGCGCAGGCGGUUUCUUAAGUCUGAUGUGAAAGCCCCCGGCUCAACCGGGGAGGGUCAUUGGAAACUGGGGGACUUGAGGGCAGAAGAGGAGAGUGGAAUUCCAUGUGUAGCGGUGAAAUGCGUAGAUAUAUGGAGGAACACCAGUGGCGAAGGCGGCUCUCUGGUCUGUAACUGACGCUGAGGCUCGAAAGCGUGGGGAGCAAACAGG